GAUGAACGCUGGCGGCGUGCUUAACACAUGCAAGUCGAGCGAAGCACUUUGGAAAGAUUCUUUGGAUGAUUUCCUUUGUGACUGAGCGGCGGACGGGUGAGUAACGCGUGGGUAACCUGCCUCAUACAGGGGGAUAACAGUUAGAAAUGACUGCUAAUACCGCAUAAGACCACGGUACCGCAUGGUACAGUGGUAAAAACUCCGGUGGUAUGAGAUGGACCCGCGUCUGAUUAGGUAGUUGGUGGGGUAACGGCCUACCAAGCCGGCGAUCAGUAGCCGACCUGAGAGGGUGACCGGCCACAUUGGGACUGAGACACGGCCCAGACUCCUACGGGAGGCAGCAGUGGGGAAUAUUGCACAAUGGAGGAAACUCUGAUGCAGCGACGCCGCGUGAAGGAUGGAGUAUUUCGGUAUGUAAACUUCUAUCAGCAGGGAAGAAAAUGACGGUACCUGACUAAGAAGCCCCGGCUA
rnacentral:rRNA from 1 species